rnacentral:sRNA from 1 species
GCUGGGUGUGGAGGUGCACACCUGUAAUCCCAACAGCUCAGGAGGCUGAGGAUUGUGAGUUCAAAGCCAGCCUCAG